AACAACUAAGCCUUAAUCCCAAGCUAGUUGGGCUAUAUUACAUGUAUAAAAAUGAAUAAAAACAUAACAAUAAUAAUAAUGAUGAUAUUAAGUGAUUCAAGCCUACUUUUAAGGCUAAUUUUAUGCUUCAAUAUAUUGAUUUUAAAAGUUUGACUUAAUAUGAUUCCUAUUUUCUCUCCCUUAAUUUAUGUUUAUAUAUUUUGCUAUAUAUGUAUAUACAUAUCAAAUCAUUAUACUUUCUUCACAUAUUAAAUCACAAAUUAAUCACUAAACAAAUAAAUUUAAAAAAAAAUAAAAGCAAACUAUAGUACUAAUAAUAUUAUAAAAUUAAAUUUCAAACUACCUAUAUAAUCUAAUAAUAUUUGCAAUGAUAAGCCAUAAAAGAAACAUAAUCCAAUAAUGUAAAAGUUCACUUUUAUAAUAAAAAUUAGCUUUAAAGGACCAUUUAUUCAAAAUAAAAUUCAAUUGUAAUAAUUUGAUAAGUGUUUCAAAUAACAAGAAUUAAAAAAAAAAAUAUUACAAAGGGUUAUAGAUACUUGCAUUCCACAUAGUGGUAAUUACACUCCAUUAUUUUCUAUUUUGUGCAUGGCUAUAUUGCCCUUGUGCUGGCUAGACUUGGAAAUUUUUUUUUUUUUUUUAAUA
rnacentral:misc_RNA from 1 species